CCACCCCAAAUCACACCCUGACCAAACCAAAUAGAGACAUAAAAAGUCUCUCUAAGGUCAGGGUGUGACACAUAUACAAUAACAGUGACCUUUUUCAUGACAACUGUCUGAUCAUAGCACUCAACACAUUAUUGCACAAUAAUAAUAAUAAUAAUAAGCUUGAUAAUAAGCUUGAUAUCAACAUAUUCAUGUAAUCACUUGUCUAAGCUUAUUGUCUGAUCUAGGGGUAAGUGUAACUUGUAACUUCAACAAGAAAUGUAUUUCUGUACCAAUAACAAAUUGCAGAGUAGAUAGUGGACACUAUAAAAAUACGUUUUUUUGUUUUUUUUGCCUUGUUCAUUUUGACACUGGUCCCACAGGUUAAGUGAGUACCUUCCUCAUGGGCACAAUAUCAUUAGGAUUUCAGACCAGUAAUUCUCCAAUUGCCAGUUCAUUUCAUCACUUCCAAGCCCAAGAUGAACUGAUGAACCUUGAGCGCUUUCUAUUAUUGCUCGGCAUCUCUAACAUCUACUCUAACUGUUAUAUUAACAUCGUUUUUUACACAAAUAUGUAAGAGAGAAAUGGCAAUGUACAGUGUAACAAUUACUAAACUGAAAUGUUGGAAAAAAUACCUAGAAAUACCAUACCUUUCUCAUUUUACACUCAUACAUCUGUCAUAUUCACAUGAACUGAGCAAUAAGUAGAUUGGAAAUACUUGUUACUACAUUAAUACUACAACACUAGCUAUAUGUCCCAGCAUUGUGAUGCAGUGCAGUUUCAAAUGUUAGCAGCAAGAACACAUUUUCACAAAAACAUCUCUAUGGCUUUUCUCCUUCCUCUCUUAGGUGAAACAUCACCGGCAUCACUGGUGAGCAACUUUAGGGGGUUAUUUGAGUAUCGGAAGAAAAGAGAAUGCAGGAAAGUGCAUAACAUUGAGUCCUUCACAGAACUACAUAAUUUUCAUCGGUCUGCAAUGAAACUAAAAACCUACAUGGUCUUUUAGCUGAUUUUCUUUCCCUUUUGAGAGGUAGAGCAGCAGUCCCGAAAGGAUUACCUGUCAAUAAUCCUACUGGCUCAAUUUUAAGAUAAUGCCUCAUUCAGUGUUCUUCAUUGGCAGGAUAGAUGUCCCAACAGGACGUCAUCUAGGUCCUUUGGGGGGACUACACAAUGGAUGAAGCCCCCUCAUCUUCAUUUGGACGAGAUCUGCAGUAACGGCCGAUGAUCACAAUGAUCUCGAUAACCAGAGGUGACAGGACCAACAAUAUCAUUAAUCCUGAAAUAUAAACGGAGCAUAACAUUUGUCAAUAAAUGAAUGGGAAAUGGAACUGGAGAGGCUUCAAGAGAGGAAGAUCACCUCCAAAUAAGGGCGGGGUUGGAAGAACUGGUGUGAAGGGAGGGAAAGGAGACACGGUAAUCAUUUGACAAUGCCGAGGCCACGUCACUCUCACAUCUGUCUACUUCCUGUUUCCAUUGAUGUAGUGGGUCUGUUUUUCUUCUUACCAAAAAUGUUUCUGUUCCUCUUUCCAAACUGGGAAGUUUUGGAGCGCGUGGUGACAAAGGACAGCAAGGGGAGAGAGGUACCAUCGGCCCUGAUGGCAUUGUUGGACGAAAUGGACUGAGGCUCCAGAGGAGAGCCAGGUCCAGGUGGUGACCUGGGCUUCAAAGGUGUCUCUUGACCUAAAGGAGUGCCAGUUUCCCCUGUGCGUAUCAGGAGCCAUCUCCAGUCUGUCUGGAGGAAGGGUCUCCCCUUUAUUUUACAUUGACACAUAUGAACUUUUAUUGACUGAUUGAUCGAUCGAUUGAUUACUUGCUUGGUUGAUUGCCAGCUUUUUGACCUCAGGGCCCUGGGCUGACAGAUGAGUAGGUAUUGCAGCUGUGUAAAAGAGUGGUGACAGUCCAGAUCUCCCAGUAUGCAGCUUCCAUCCAGGCCAAGUGUUCCCAAGGCUGCCCCAUCAACAACCACACACUUAUUGGGCCGCCUGGAACCAGGAGACCAACUGGAGAAUCAGGCAAACCCGGUAAAGCGGGCAAAGCUGGAGUCAAAGGAGGCAGGGGCAUCCAAGGGGACACAGGAGUGGAUGGUCAGAAGGGGGCAGAGGGUGAAAGAGGAACAAAAUGUCUGAAAGGAAAGGGAGGUGAUCCUGGUAAAGGUCUGCCAGGACACAAUGGGCAGCAAGGCCUCAGAGGUAGGACACUGUUUCCACUGGUGUGAAACUCUCAGGUCUACCUCAACAUUGCUGGUCUUAGAAUUGUUGGAAAGUAUCUGUAAUUCACAUCCAGAUUCCCUUGACAUUGCUCCAUUCCCAGAUCAAAACUCAAUGUGUACAGCAUUGAUCUUUUUGAAAUCAUGUCCAAUUCAAUUCCUGUAUUGAAAUGGAAUUGAUCUGAGCACUGUUCCAUGGCGCUCACCGGUGUUGGAACGGUUUGGUGAAACACGCUGGACUCUGUACAGAGAGAUGAAACCAACCUUGACUGCAUUCCAUCUGAGCCAAGCAAGGCUCUCAAUGAACUCUAAUGUUUAGGCAUAAUUCAACUUUUUUUGCUAGGCCAAAACAAUACAUUAUGAAUUUUUUAUGCAGAAACAAAAAAGAAAAUAGUCUUUCUCCAAGCAAAACUAUAAGGGGCUUGAGAAACUGUUUCAAAGAAAUUGGGAGAAAAUUAAACUUGCAGGAGUCUCUGGCUACCAGUCAGGUUUUGUUUUUGAUAUGAUCAACAAUGCUGUGUAUACAUUGAAAAUAAAAAGUGAUGUAAAUAAUUUUGUAAAGUA